UACGAAGGGUGCUAGCGUUAUUCGGAAUUAUUGGGCGUAAAGGGUGCGUAGGCGGCAUGUUAAGUCAACUGUUAAAGACCUCAGCCUAACUGGGGAUCGGCGGUAGAUACUGAUGUGCUAGAGGAUGGAAGAGAGAAGUGGAAUUCUUGGAGUAGCGGUAAAAUGCGUAGAUCUCAAGAGGAACACCGAUGGCGAAGGCAGCUUCUUGGUCCAUAUCUGACGCUGAUGCACGAAAGCAUGGGGAGCAAACAGG
rnacentral:rRNA from 1 species